UUACGGUCAUAUCCCGUUGUAACACUGGUUCUCGUCCUAUCAACGAAGUUAAGCAACGUUGAGCCUGGUCAGUACCUAAAUGGGUGACCAGCCCGGAAUACCGGGUGUUGUAA